ACAAUUGGAGGGCAAGUCUGGUGCCAGCAGCCGCGGUAAUUCCAGCUCCAAUAGCGUAUAUUAAAGUUGUUGCAGUUAAAAAGCUCGUAGUUGAAUUUCGGGGUCAGUAGUUUGGUCAUGCCACAGGUAUGUACUGAUCUUACUGAUUCCUCCUUCCUGAUGAACCGUAAUGCCAUUAAUUUGGUGUUGCGGGGAAACUGGACUGUUACUUUGAAAAAAUUAGAGUGUUUAAAGCAGGCUAACGCUUGAAUACAUUAGCAUGGAAUAAUGAAAUAGGACGUUCGAUCCUAUUUUGUUGGUUUCUAGGAUUGACGUAAUGAUUAAUAGGGAUAGCUGGGGGCAUUAGUAUUCAAUUGUCAGAGGUGAAAUUCUUGGAUUUAUUGAAGACUAACUACUGCGAAAGCAUUUGCCAAGGAUGUUUUCAUUAAUCAAGAACGAAAGUUAGGGGAU
rnacentral:rRNA from 1 species